rnacentral:rRNA from 1 species
UACGAAGGGGGCUAGCGUUGCUCGGAAUUACUGGGCGUAAAGCGCACGUAGGCGGCUUUCUAAGUCGGGGGUGAAAUCCUGGAGCCUCAACUCCAGAACUGCCUUCGAUACUGGAGAGCUCGAGUCCGGGAGAGGGUGAGUGGAACUGCGAGUGUAGAGGUGAAAUUCGUAGAUAUUCGCAAGAACACCAGUGGCGAAGGCGGCUCACUGGCCCGGUACUGACGCUGAGGUGCGAAAGCGUGGGGAGCAAACAGG